AUUCUAUCUAUUUUCAAAAUUUGUAAUUUUGUUAUUUUUGUUUUGUCCUCUGAUCUGAAAACAUGAAAUCGAACUGUACUUGUUAUUUAAAAACUAUGAAAUAUCGUUCAUACAUCAUAUGAUAUUACGAACUGCUUUCAAUUUCGAUGGCCAAGGAGGGUGAUUGGCAUCAUGAGUUCAUAUAAAGUGAUAAAAAGCCUGCGGCGAUUUUAAGAUACGCUCGUGGAGAUAUUUGUUCGACUCCGAUCCUAAUCGACAGUUAUUGCAAAUAUUUUAACUAAAGCUCGCCUGAUGUCCGGCUUCACCUACCUAUGAUGACAGGUCAAUAAAAUAC
rnacentral:lncRNA from 1 species